UGUAUUGUAAUUUAGUUGGUGGAACUUGAUGCUUGUAACGUCAGGGUUGUGGGUUUGAUUCCCACGGGGGGAG